rnacentral:sRNA from 1 species
GCCAGGUGUGGUGGCGCACGCCUGUAAUUCCAGUGGCUUUAGGAGGCUGAGGUAGGAGGAUUGUGAGUUCAAAGCCAGCCUCGGCAAAAUCAAGAUGCUAGGCAACUCAGUGAGACCCUGUCUCUA